rnacentral:rRNA from 1 species
GCCGGGAACUCAAAGGAGACUGCCAGUGAUAAACUGGAGGAAGGUGGGGAUGACGUCAAGUCAUCAUGGCCCUUACGACCAGGGCUACACACGUGCUACAAUGGCGCAUACAAAGAGAAGCGACCUCGCGAGAGCAAGCGGACCUCAUAAAGUGCGUCGUAGUCCGGAUUGGAGUCUGCAACUCGACUCCAUGAAGUCGGAAUCGCUAGUAAUCGUGGAUCAGAAUGCCACGGUGAAUACGUUCCCGGGCCUUGUACACACCGCCCGUCACACCAUGGGAGUGGGUUGCAAAAGAAGUAGGUAGCUUAACCUUCGGGAGGGCGCUUACCACUUUGUGAUUCAUGACUGGGGUGAAGUCGUAACAAGGUAACCGUAGGGGAACCUGCGGUUGGAUCACCUCCUU